rnacentral:rRNA from 1 species
AUUGAACGCUGGCGGCAGGCUUAACACAUGCAAGUCGAGCGGAGAUGAGGUGCUUGCACCUUAUCUUAGCGGCGGACGGGUGAGUAAUGCUUAGGAAUCUGCCUAUUAGUGGGGGACAACAUUCCGAAAGGAAUGCUAAUACCGCAUACGUCCUACGGGAGAAAGCAGGGGAUCUUCGGACCUUGCGCUAAUAGAUGAGCCUAAGUCGGAUUAGCUAGUUGGUGGGGUAAAGGCCUACCAAGGCGACGAUCUGUAGCGGGUCUGAGAGGAUGAUCCGCCACACUGGGACUGAGACACGGCCCAGACUCCUACGGGAGGCAGCAGUGGGGAAUAUUGGACAAUGGGGGGAACCCUGAUCCAGCCAUGCCGCGUGUGUGAAGAAGGCCUUUUGGUUGUAAAGCACUUUAAGCGAGGAGGAGGCUACUAGUAUUAAUACUACUGGAUAGUGGACGUUACUCGCAGAAUAAGCACCGGCUAACUCUGUGCCAGCAGCCGCCGUAAGAC